rnacentral:rRNA from 1 species
ACGCUCGACACCUACGGGAGCAGCAGUGGGGAAUAUUGGGCAAUGGGCGCAAGCCUGACCCAGCAACGCCGCGUGAAGGAAGAAGGCUUUCGGGUUGUAAACUUCUUUUAUUAAGGACGAAACAAAUGACGGUACUUAAUGAAUAAGCUCCGGCUAACUACGUGCCAGCAGCCGCGGUAAUCUGAGCGGGCUGGCAAGGC